UACGGAGGGUGCAAGCGUUAUCCGGAUUCACUGGGUUUAAAGGGUGCGUAGGCGGGCAGGUAAGUCAGUGGUGAAAUCUCCAAGCUUACCUUGGAAACUGCCGUUGAUACUAUCUGUCUUGAAUGUUGUGGAGGUGAGCGGAAUAUGUCAUGUAGCGGUGAAAUGCUGAGAUAUGACAUAGAACAACAAGAGCGAAGGCAGCUCACUACACAAAUAUUGACGCUGAGGCACGAAAGCGGGGGGAGCAAACAGG
rnacentral:rRNA from 1 species